rnacentral:tRNA from 1 species
UAAUAUGAAGCAAUAAGUUGCACUUAGUUUCGACCUAAAUUUUGAUAUUUUAUCCAUAUUUU